CAAUGCAACACUUGACAUAUUAAAAUGGGGAUAACAAGUGCAGGGGUUGUGUGUUACCUAAAAUAAUUGAAAUUAGGUUAGAAGAACAUGAAGCUGUCUGCUUAUAAUAUGCUUGGUGAGUCAUUAGUCACUUCAAGAAGCAUUAGCAUGUAGAGCCAAUUGUUUUUCCAUCACUAAUGUAGUGGAGCUGAACAGACAUCCUAAAGGCGACAAAACAAAUCCCAGAACAGUAUUAUAAAUGGCACCAUGUCAUGCAAAAGUCCUACAGCAAACAUGCCCAUUUCUCAUUUCUUUGCCCAAUUUCCUCUCAUCCACAAUUGCUAAAAUUAAGUCAUUUGCACAAUGAGUUUACAAACUCAGAAUCAUCAGUUGGGCAACUAAAGCAACAAAAGUUUUCAGUUUAUCCACAAGGCAUCUACCCAGAAGCACAAGUAGCAUUAGACUCACAAAGAAACUAUUAGCGAUCCUGACAAGAACGGCAGAGAGUACCAUGGGAUAGCUCACAGAAAGCUCGCACAUUAUCAGCCAGACGAGACGUCAACCGUGUUCCUGCCACUGUCCUAUGCAGUGACAAUAGUGAUUGUGCGCAUCCCAGCUCCCCCAAUGUACUGCAUCAAAUAAUCACCCUAAAAACAUCAGCAAUAGAGUAAACAAGUUGAUAAAUUCCCCACAAGCAGUUAAACUAGAAUAAUCAUAUCUCAA